GACGAACGCUGGCGGCGUGCUUAACACAUGCAAGUCGAGCGGUAAGGCCCUUUCGGGGGUACACGAGCGGCGAACGGGUGAGUAACACGUGGGUGACCUGCCCUCAGCUCUGGGAUAAGCCCGGGAAACUGGGUCUAAUACCGGAUAUGACUUCAUGACGCAUGUUGUGGAGUGGAAAGCCUUGUGCGGCUGAGGAUGGGCCCGCGGCCUAUCAGCUUGUUGGUGGGGUGAUGGCCUACCAAGGCGACGACGGGUAGCCGGCCUGAGAGGGCGACCGGCCACACUGGGACUGAGAUACGGCCCAGACUCCUACGGGAGGCAGCAGUGGGGAAUCUUGCGCAAUGGGCGAAAGCCCGACGCAGCGACGCCGCGUGAGGGAUGACGGCCU
rnacentral:rRNA from 1 species